CCUGUCUCCGCCGGCUACUCCGCUGGAACCUUGGUUUCCUGGCCUGCCUGCUGUACUGUACACCGACAGCCUCCAGGACCCUCAACUGCCUUAGGCAGUUUUAGAAGCACCAAUAACGUCACACGGGGCUGUGGAAAUGAGGAAACUUGAGGCUUAAUCACUGUCUUUGAUCUCACUGAGCAGCUAACCAGCUGAAGAUUGGAAGAGAAGAGCAAGGCCUGGACUUCGAUGACUCCAGAGAUGGCUCAUCAGCCGCCAAAAAUUGAAGUUAGUUUUUCAUUCAUGUGAUGUAAAAAAAAAAACUCUACUGUAAAUAUUAGCAAGAGUUCAAUGGAGUAACUUGCUGAGAAUGUCAUUUUCUUAAGAAAUAAAGUAAUUUGUUUUUACAGCAUCUUUCUACAUUAGCUUGCUUAAUCCUCAUGACAAUUCUAGGAAAUAAUUAUUAUUGUCCAUGUCUUAGGGAUGAACUGCAAAUGGAUUCUAAAGACAUUAACUUGUUCCAGAUUGCACAGCUGGUGAGUCUCAGGCCCAGGACACUAUCUACACACUCUUAAUUCCAAAAUAAUGCCCCUGCACCUUCUUUUCUGCCUCCAUUACUAAAAGAGAUGGAUGGAAAACAGUUUCUCCGAUUCUCUCACAGGUUAGUGAAGGCUUGACAAGGGAGACCACACUGUAUUCUCUCUUGUGAAUCAUGCAUAGAACCCUGUGCCAAUGCAAAACACGUCAAAGAAACAUACUUUCCCCCCAAAGUUAAUGAUGUGUCUAAGGAUUAAUGCUUGUCUCUGCUUAGCUGAGAAGACUGUGAAGCUUUACCCCUUGGCAAUACGAAGGAUUGGGGACUGUCAGGCCUCUUGUUUUAUGUCCGAGGAUCAAGGGAAAAUAGAAUGUUUGGCACAGUUUGGAAAAAGAAUCACCAGCUGUAACUUCUGAACUCAAACACUGGUCAAGUUUAGCUUAACACACUGAUGGAGGUGGGUCUUGUAUCUUAUCUGUUGCUUUCAUUGGUUAACUAAUAAAGAAAACUGCUUGGCCUGAUAGGACAGAAAAUUAGGUAGGUGGAGUAGAGAGAACAGAAUGCUGGGAGAAAGAAGCCCAAUCAGUCAGUCACCAUGAUUCUCCCACUCCGACACAGCCACAGGUUAAGAUCUUCUCUGGUAAGCCACCUUGUGGGCUACACAGAUUAUUAGAAAUGGGUUAGAUCAAUAUGUAAGAACUAGCCAAUAAUAGGGUGGAACUAAUGGGCCAGGCAGUGUUUAAAAAAUACAGUUUCUGUGUAAUUAUUUCGGGGCAUAAGCUAGCCAUGCAGGAGCCGGGGCGGGCGGGACACAGCCCUCUGCCGUUCCUCACAACAACACACUUUUAUGUACUUUUUAAAAUAAAUCAAACUACUAAACUAUUGUGUAUAUGUGGGCAACUCUCCGGAAGACUUUACAGACAGUGGGCACCAUUGGGGCGCUGUAUUGGGAUGGUAGGAUUAUGAUAUUUCUAUAUCAUAUAUGACUAUAUGACUAUAUAGUAUUUAUACCAGUAUAUCUCUUUGCAUCAAAUUCCCAAUUUAGAAAUUGAUUAAAUUGACACUGGAGAAAGAUAGACUUCUUCUGACAUGCAGGUACUAAUAACGGUACUUCAAUGAUACAUUGCUAUGAGGCGUUGGGUGUUAUGGAGUUAGCAUCCUUGCCCUUGGAAGGUGGAUAGCUUAACUUUGCCUGGUACUCACAGUGAAGGUAGAGCAGAAGCAGAGUUUUGGGUUAUAUUUCCUUAGUACAACUUCUCUGGUAACUUUUUCUUUUAUAGAGGUGGGAGUUUUUAAUGAUCAGAUGUUCUGGUAAAUAUCCUAAUUCAUUCACCUUUGGAAAUUCUUACGUGGCCUAAUCAUGCCGUUUUCCCUGAGGAUGUUAGAGCUUGGGGGAUGGACAAUUGACUUCUUUGUACAUGAAGAGACAGGCUUGGAGAAGGGGCUUUCAAAGUUGAGGUUCACAGCAAAGCAAACGUUACAGGUUUUUUUGUUGGAAUCACACUAUCCUACAACAUAAGCAUACCUGUUCUUGAUAUCGCUGCUGUCCUUCAUUGGACUAUAUGGCACUUUUCUUUGUUAGAAAGAACUCUGGCCUGUGUUAUUGGGGACUUUGAAUCCACCUGAAUACAGAGUUUUCAUACUCGAUAGUGAAAGAGGCUAAACAUGUAUGAUGUGACAAAUGGAUAAUAUUUUUAAAGACGCUCACCGCUCACUUAUUCUCGCAUGGUAGAAUAUUUUCCUAUGACUUGAAAGCCUGAAAUGGGGUCUCUAAAGUCAGUAGAAAAAGGAGCCAUGAGAAUGAAGGACAUGACUUCAGGUUUUGCCUGCUCUCCUUGUAGAUUCUCAAAUGCAUUUCUUAGAGUUGCCUUCACUUUCUUGGAGGGAUAACAAGUGCCCGGGCAACACCAUGAUAUAAACUUGGCGAUGCGAUGAAAUUCCCGAUCUGCUGAUUGUUAUCUGUGUGGUUUUUAGAAAUUACUUAAUAUUUCCAAGUCUGUAGCUUCAUCUUGUCAAAGGAGUGAGUUGAACUUCAAACUCUUGAAGUUUUGGGGGAUGCACAAGGCUGAUUAAUUUAAGCUCAAGAGAGUGCACUUUGGGCAGUUAGCUCACAGACAUGAGGAAGUUGGAUAACCUGUGUUGGAAAAUAAUAUGGAACCAGGGCAGGUUGUUGUGAGGGUUUGAGAGGGGUGGAGCUGCUGAUAGACAGGCCAUAGUGCAGGUAGAGUAUCACUGGUAUAGUAGCUGCAUCAGAGAGAAAGAAUUCCCUUAUGUUCUCUAUCAUUGCAUGUCUCUACUCAAGCCCAGAGUCUGAGGACACUGACUCCUUGACCACGAGUAAGGCUGUAUGUCCAGCUUACCUAGAAGACAGCAGACAACUUACUCUGCAGCCUCACAAAGACUAUUACUAAGUAAUAGAGUAGAUGCUCACCGGGAAUCUAGCUAUUUCCUCUAGAACCAGACCCCCUACCGUGCCUCUGCCCUUCUCCCUUUUUCAUUUCUGUUUGUAUCUUUUCCUUAAGCCUCUUCCAAUCAUUUUAUAUUUUGGGGAAGCUAUAUUUUAGCACAUUAGAGAAGGUUCCAGUCCCCAUUUCCCUCCACACCUUCAGAAGGAUUAGGAUUAUUGUGGGAAGAGGAGACAGUUGCCCUGGUUACAGCUGGGGACCAGAAAGCCAGAAAGCAGCAGUCUUCCUAAGGACCAGAGCCAGGGAGGGCAGCGGCAACAAUCUUGGAGCAGAUGGCUCAUAGAACAGUCCACCAAAGCCCCCCCAGGUGCCGCUGCUAGUCCGAGGGGUUUCCUCUCACAGUGAUCCCAUUAACACAUUUUCUUGGCUUUCUCUUUAUGGCUGCUGGGACAAGAGGCUUUAUUCCAUUUCCAAACUGUCCUUAUCAGUAAUGCAACAAUAGUUAAUUUAAUUAGCUGACCUGAAUGGUGGCCAGUUUGGGCUAAUUUGGUUUUGAUAGGGCUCCUUGGCACAUGCAGAACUGAUAAGCAUAUUUCUCUCCAGAUGAACAGUGGGGCGUGGGAGGGCUGUGUGAAUGAGGAUAGCUCUCCCAAAGCCCCUCAUAUACCUGAGGGACACUGUGCUUGACCAAAGGCAAGUUAUGCUAAAGUCAGUAUUCUCCCCCCCCUCACCAAGACUCGUCAAAUGUGUCAGCUGAAAAAGAUAAAAUAGACAACCAGGAAAUUGCAAAGGCAAAGAGCCCAGGAUGAGGGUGCAGAAAGAAUGCUUGCCUGGGAGGUCUAAAUCUGUCACGGGGACUGUGCUUCCCUCUUUCACUCCAGUUCCGUGGGUCACCUACCUAAUGCAUUAGGUGGUCAUUGGCCACCUCCUUCACAGCUAUGUCUCUGCACAUCAGUGCAAUGCAGAUAAGAGGAUGGACAGACAGACAGACAGACUCACACCCAUAUGUUGUAGAAGGCCGCUUAUUCAUUCCUGGCUGCCCAGAACCAAAAUAACCACACAGAAACUGUAUUAAUUAAGUCACUGCUUGGCCCAUUAGCUCUAGCUUCUUAUUGGCUAACUCUUACAUUGUAAUUUAACCCAUUUCUAUUAAUCUGUGUAUUACCACGUAGCUGUGGCUUACUGGCACACGUGGUUCAGGCUCAUCUGUUCCCGGCAGUGGCUACAUGGAGUCUCUCGACUCCUCCUUCUUUCUCCCAGGAUUUAGUUUAGUCUUCCUCGCCUAGCUCUAUUCUGCUAAGCCACUGGGAAAAACAGCUUCUUUAUUCAUUAACCAAUAAAAGCAACACAUAUACAGAAGGACUUCCCAGCGCGCGCGUGCGCACACACACACACACACACACACACACACACACACACCAUGGCAGGUGCUUUGAAAAUGAGCUGAGUAUCCUGAAAGUAUGCAUUCUCUGGUUCUCCUUGGUGAAAACACCAUUACUCAUUGUGUCUUAGGUCCUAACAUGAUAUGCAACACAGAAGGUACUUACCACCUAUUCAAUGACUCAAUGAUACAGGAAAGGGGCACAUGGAGGGACAAUUUCAGGGGCGAGGAAGUCAACAUACAGCUAAGUAUCAUAAAACAAAUUCACAACCCUUUCUAUCCUUGCAAAAGAAAAAAUUACCAGAAACCACAAUUUAUUUUGUAUCCCCAGGAGAGAAGUAAGUUUUCAUUUUCGAGUUGUCAUCUACUGGAGAUAGGGUUAGGGACGGGCAUUUGCCCACUUACCUUUCAGUUCUAGGACCCUAUCUGGAGCAAAGCCGUGCAGGUCCUGUGCACAGGCCACAGUCUCUGUGGGUUCAUCUGUGCAUUGGUCCUGCUGUGUUUAAAGGGCAAUGUCUCCUUGGUGUGCCCGGCCCCCUGGGGUUCUUACAAUCCUAGCAGUAAAUGGCCACGACAAAAUGAACUCAUUGACAUCUUUGGAAGUUCUUUGUUUCACAGUGUUUGUAAGGGAAUUAUUUUUAACCUUACAGGUCCUUUGCACAUCUAUCAUGGCUUCCAGUUUUCUGUUUCAAGGGAUUCCUGUGUGUGUGAACGUUAGUGUCUCCGCACCUAUGUGUGUUUCUCGUGCUUUUUCUUUGGAUCUUUUUCUUCUAUUUGCUUGUUUGUUUUACACUCUUUUGGUUUGUUUGUUUUUGUUUUAUCUUAUCUUUAUUAUUAUUCUUUAGAUGCCUGUUUGUUUUCUAAGAAAGAUAGAAAUGGUGUGUAUUUGGAUGGGAGGGGAGGUGGGAGAGAGUCUUUAAAAAGUUAGGGGAGGGUAAACCAUAUAUGAAAAAAAUCUAUUUUUGAUGAAAGAAAAAUAUGAAAAAAGACACAGUAGUUACGUGAGACUUUUUUUUCCAUAUCAAAAUCUCUUUUGUCACAUUUGUCACACUGGGGCCUCCGUCACCAUUCCCCAGAAGUGUUCUUCCUACAUAAGGGGACACACCAGGUAGCCUUUUGAGUUUGCUUUGAAGUGCUUUCCCCUUUCUAGAAUUGCAUUUUAAUAGCACACAGAUGAGCGUGCACUUAAUGCUUUGGGUUAAAUGGUGUAUGAUUGAAAUUAGUAGGCUUGGAAUCCCUUCCAACAGGAGGUCCAUGUGAGACUAUUUCAGUGUGACUUCUGAUUCUGCUGUGUGGUCCUGUUUAACAACGUGCUAAUCAUCUAUGAUCCUUCCCUGUGCUUUCCCUGGGUAAACCCACUCACUCCAUGGCUUCAGCCUCCUAUGUGCUGAAAAUUCACAAGUCUUUGUCUACGACCCUGGUCUUCUCACUAGAUCAGUUGUACAGGAAUGCAACUGGCUGUUGGAGGUUUCCAACUGGAUCUUCCAUCACGGCCUAAGCCAAAGCACCAAAGAAACUAAUACCUGUUUACAGAAAUCUAUUUGUCUAAAUUCUCUGCUUUUCUGAAGAGCCUAACCCAACCUGUUUCCCCUUCUUGCCUGUUUCUAGAUAGUCACCUAGUCUAUUGAUUCUGCCUUCCAAAUGUCUUUGGAAUCCAGGUCAUUCUAAACAGUGAAAUGACUUUAUUUAUAUCUCUCAUCUCCUAUCCCUCCAAUCUAAACAGGAAUUUCUCAAAGUCAGAGAUAUCCUUCGUAUGUCAGACAAACAAGAAAUGUUUAGUUUUCUGAACUGAAUUAACGUAUCCCUCCCUUUGUUCCAUCAAAUUCUAAAACUGUAGUGCAUAUCAAGUGCUUUGCUCAAUAUGAUGAUGUAGAUGGGUUUUCUUAUUCUUGUGUAUCUCAAUUUUUAUUUUAGUAGCAAAAUCAAAUGCCGUCCAUGUAUAAAUCAUAUGCUAUGCAGUUUACCCACUUCAUAGAUGAAAAUCAGGCAGAAAAACAAAAAAACCAAGUCUCUGACAGGUUAAGAAAAUGUUCCCUUAGUACACAGCCCAUAAAUGAUAGAAGCUGAUUUGGAGUCUGGAUUGGGUUCAAUGUAAACACUAUGUAAGACACAUACUAACUAUUCUAAGUCUGUAUCUCUGUAAAUAAAGAAAAAAAAGCAAAAUACUCAUAGGAAUCUCAAAGUAAUUACACUGAGUGAAAGCGGCCAGGUGAAAAGACUUGCAUGCUGU